AUGGCCAAGGUAUUUACUGUACCAAUGUUUUUUUUUUGUUUUUUUUGUUUUUUUUUUUUUUUUACAACAUUCAUCAUCUUAUUUAAAGAUUUUUUGAAAUUAUUUGGCAUGUGUGUGAUCAUGGCAAAUAAUCCUAAUGGACAUUUUAAAAAUAAAAUCCAUCAAUUAAAAAUGUGCACAAGCCUCAUGUUAGUCCACAAUUGUCAGAAUAUUGUUAGUAGUGUGAAAUAUAAACAUUUCCCUUUCUCAUUCCUGGUUUUCCAGUCGGGUUUUGCGGUUUUGGUGAAGCUUGGUGGACUUAACUGUGAUUGUCUCCUAGCUGCCAGAAUUAACUGGCUCCUCCUGAAGGAAGCAUCCCCAGUGACCUAACCACGUGCCAGGAGGUCCCGCCUCUCAAAGGUUCCAGCACUUCUCAGCCCUGCACACUGAAGACCGGGAUUCUAGCACAUGAACUGUUCAGAAACACACUGAACCCAUAUCCAAACCACAGUACUACUAUAUGGCUGUUUGCAGAGAAAGCUAAUUCAUCAAAUCUAUUUACUAUAGAAAAAAACAAGCAAGGUAUGGUGAUGCAUGCCUGUAAUAUCAGCACUCUGAGAGUGUGAGGCAGGAGGAUCACAAGCUUGACCCCAAUCUGGAUAGUCCAGUGACUUAGUGAGACCCUGUCUGGAAAUUAAAAAUAAAAAGGGCUGAAGAUAUAAUUCAGCACAAAGGCUCUGGGUUCAAUCCCCAGUAAUACACACACACGAAAACACACACAAAAAAAUAAAAAUCUGUAUCAUUCUAAGUAAAACUCUUCCUAUUAAUUUUUGGUGCCUAUAAACAUCCUGUACACAUUCAUUAUUAUAAGAUGGUUUCAUAUCCUGAUGCUUUAAAAGUACAAACAUGAAGUUUUUAUAUAAUCCUCCCUUUAAAAGAAGGAGUUGCACCAGGCCUGGUGGUGCACGCCUGUAAUCUCAGCACUGGGGAGGCUGAGCCAGAAGGAUCAUUGUGAGUUCAAGACCAGCCUGGGCUACAAAGUGACUCAAGGACACCCUGAACUGCAUAGCAAAACCCUGUCUCAAAAAAAAGACAAAAUAAAAAAUAAAAAAUGAAGUCUUUUUUAUUGUUUUUGCUUUGUCUUGUUUUU
rnacentral:lncRNA from 1 species